GUGGAGGUGGAAGGCCUAUGGGUCGUCAACUUCUUUUCUCGGAGAAGAAACAAUGAUGGUAUCUAAGGAAUAAGCAUCAGCUAACUCUGUGCCAGCAGCCGCGGUAAGAUAGAGGAUGC
rnacentral:ncRNA from 1 species